UUCCUCCUUUUUUGAGGUCAAAACCUAUUCAACCUACCAACAGAUCCUGAGGACUUUGUGGGAUACUUUUUAAUGGGCCAGCGCCGGCAACAAAGUCUGUUUGUUCAUUUCAUUUCACCAGGGACUGCUUCGAGAACGAGCGUGCUAAAAUGCUGGGUUUUCUUCUCAGCUCUGAUUAAAAAGAAAGGAUCAAUUCCUGCAAUCCCUCAUCCACUAGCUGCAUUCCUGCUUACGACUACAGCCACACAUAGAGUACCUUUUUUCAUGAGGUGAUGGUGAGGACAGCCACAGCUUCCAUCUGGUAGAGCACUGCUUCCGCUCAAAGACUUCCAAAUAGUGAUGAGAACAAAGAUCACGACAUCUCCCCAGUCAUCUGUCUACAACUAUACCUGUCCUGUUGCAGAAACAAAUCUCCAACAUAACCAAGUUUACCACCUACCCAGGACAUCAAGCACUUCCACUGCAAAAGCUUCUCUCCUCAAACCCCCAGGCUUCUCAACUCACUCAGUAACCUAUACAUUGCACAUGAGGAUGAAUUGUGAAGAUAACAGUUUCUUCCAGCUUUGGAGUACUGGUGCAUUUUCUGGUUGACAAUAAAGUUGGCUUUGACUAUUUAUACUGAACUCUGUUUUUAUAAAGGGUAAAACACUUUUA